rnacentral:rRNA from 1 species
AUUUAUCUUCGGGAUAGGUAGUAGUUAAGGUGAUGGCUUAACUAGCUUAAAAUUCUCGUAGUCGAAGCUGAAAGGUUGAUCGACCACAUUGGGUCUGAAAAAACCCCAAUGCAAGUUAGUACAGCAGUGAGGAAUCUUGGUCAAUGGCCUAACGGCUGAACUGGCAACUUGGAGAAGUGGCAAGUCUUAUUUUUGAUUAUAAUUUUAGAUAAUCUAUAAGAUUGUAUUAAAAUUGAAUAAAACUUUGUUUAUAUAUUGAUAAUGACAAUAUAUAUAUCGUGUCUUGACUAAUUACGUGCCAGCAGUCGCGGUAAUACGUAAGAGACUAGUGUUAUUCAUCUUAAUUAGGUUUAAAGGGUACCUAGACGGUCAAUAUAGCUUCUAGAAUGUUAGUACUUGACUAGAGUUUGAUGUAAGGGGGCAGUACUUGAGGAGGAGAGAUGAAAUUCUAUUAUACCAAAGGGACUCGGUAAAGGCGAAGGCAGCCCUUUAUGUAAAAACUGACGUUGAAGGACGAAGGCACAGAGCACAAACAGGAUUAGAUACCCAAGUAGUCUUUGCAGUAAAUGAUGAAUGCCAUAGGUUAGAUUAAU